CUUCCGGUAGCACCUUAGAGACCAACUAAGUUUGUUAUUGCUAUGAGCUUUUGUGCGCAUGCACACUUAAGUUGGUCUCUAAGGUGCUACUGGAAG